GACACCGCUGCUGCCUCUUCUUCCCUCCUCUCGAGAAGCUGCCUGCUACCCGCGCGCUGCCUCUCCCUUCCACUCCAUACCAUACCGCCACGACAACGUCGACAAGCGCAAUACCGGAGCCCUCCGAAAUGGCCGAGGACAAGGAGACCGACUCGCCGCAGCCGCCGGCCAAGCUGCCCCGCCUCUCCCGCGCCGACACGAGCGCCGGAGAGGUGACCAUGGCGGCCUCGUCGCCGCUGGUUCUUGGGCUGGGGCUGGGCCUCGGCGGGCGCGGCGGCGGCGGCGAGCGAGACGCGGAUGUGUCCCCCGCGACGGUGACUCCCAAGAGGCCGUCGGCGCUGACGUUCAUGCAGCAGCAGGAGCUGGAGCACCAGGUGCUCAUCUACCGCUACUUCGCCGCGGGCGCGCCGGUGCCGGUGCACCUGGUGCUCCCCAUCUGGAAGAGCGUCGCCGCGUCCUCCUUCGGCCCGCAGCGCUUUCCCUCGCUGAUGGGCCUGGGCAGCCUGUGCUUCGACUACCGCAGCAGCAUGGAGCCGGAGCCCGGGCGGUGCCGGCGCACGGACGGCAAGAAGUGGCGGUGCUCCCGCGACGUGGUGCCGGGCCACAAGUACUGCGAGCGGCACGUCCACCGCGGCCGCGGCCGUUCAAGAAAGCCUGUGGAAGCCGCCGCGGCACCGGCGGCGGCGGCCGGCGGCAGCAGCCCCGUCCUCCGGGUCGCCGCGCCCCAGCACGUGCUCGGCCUCUCCUCGCCCACCAGCGUCCUCCUCGCCCACGGCGCCGCGCGUGCCACGUGAGUAGCGCGCCGCCGCGGGCCGACCGAUGGUGCCGUGGUCUACUGGUCUUGGGCCUCGGAAUCACGAGGGGCAAACGGAAUCCGCAGGGGUUAUUACUGUGUCGUGCGUGCUGUAAUCUUUUUUUUCUUCUCUCCCUCGCAGAAGUCGAGAAAACAACCCGGUUUAGCAUGCAUCGGUACGGUAGCUCGCUGCGUUGAUUCUGCUGUUUACGUGUGCCUGAGACACCAGUACACGGGGGG
rnacentral:misc_RNA from 1 species